GCGGUUAGGUCGGGCCGGGAGGAAGCCUAGGCUUACGCGGCGAUCUUUUGUACCCAGGAGCCGGCCGGCCCCAGUGCGCCUGCGCGCCGCUCAGCCUGCCGCGGACCCACGAGGCACCUAGGCGCACCUCCGCCCUGCAUGCUGUCCCCGAGUUGCAGUACUUACUCCCACCGCCCCGAGUGAAAACCAUGUCCCCAGUGAGACAGGUUGCAAUAAAAACCAAGUCAUAGUGGGUCUUGAGUAUGCUGCAGCUAGGAAUCUGGUGCCUGAGAAGGGACAUGGUAAUGAGAUUUAUGAGGAGGAAGUGAGGAAGAGACCCCUGGGCAAGAAGUCACCAACAUCGAACCAGACCUUCAGGACAGGUGGAAUUGGAGCAACCCUCUAGGUUACAGAUAGCAUGCUUGCCUGGCAAUCCUCAAAACCUCAUCAGGAAGGUGGGCAAAGUGAAAGGUUAAACACCAGAACCAACCCAUCUGAGUAAACCAAUGUGGAGGACUUCGGCUGUCUGCUACUAGGAUCUGGUUACAGAAGAACCUCUUAAUGAGUGCUGCAUUCAGAUUCGAGAGAGUUAUUAUUAUUGUCUGCACGAAUAAGUUCACCCAGCUCCUUUCACUCCCUGCCUUAGGUCAUUGGAAAGGUCAGUCACUUAUCUAACCCUUGCAUGUGUUCAGUGUUCGUUCAUAGUCUGUGUACUUUGAGAGGAUGGGCCUCUCUGUGUUGUCUUUGAUGGAUCAAAGGGCCCUAGUCUACGUAAUUCUCACUACAUUGCAUACCUAAUUUGUAUUUUUUUUUAUUGUGACAGUUAUUAUUUUGAAAAACUAGAAGUCAUUCCAAUGUCCUACCACAGGGAAUUGACAUGGUGGAGCAUAAAUAACAUUGGGGACAGAAUGUUAUAAACCAAUAUAAAUGCUAAGAAUCGUGCACUCCAUUGGAAUAAGUCAACAGGGGAAAACCAGAUACAAAGUAGAGUGUAUGCAUUGAAAAUAACUAUGUAAAAAAUGAAUGCUUGUAAAUUACUAAGGAUCAACAGUGAUUUGGGGCUGGGGAUGUAGCUCAGUGGCAGAGGACCUGGGUUUGAUACCCAGUACUGUUCCCCUCCCCCCAAAAAGUGAAAUAGAUUUAGGUCCAAUAAAUUCUUUAUACUUAAAAGUUAAUUAGAAACACACACGCGCGCGCGCGCACACAGCUGUGUAAGAGGACAAACACUGAUCACUGAUCAUCACACAGAGCCCUGAGGGUCAGGAAUCUUA
rnacentral:lncRNA from 1 species